AGAGUUUGAUCCUGGCUCAGAACGAACGCUGGCGGCGUGCCUAACACAUGCAAGUCGAACGGGGAUAAGUAGCUUGCUAUUUAUUCUAGUGGCGCACGGGUGAGUAACGCGUAGAUAAUCUGCCUUAGACUCUGGGAUAACAUCUCGAAAGGGGUGCUAAUACCGGAUAAGCCCACGGGGACGUGAGUUCUUGCGGGAAAAGGGGGCCUCUGCAUAUGCUCUUGAUCUAAGAUGAGUCUGCGUACCAUUAGCUUGUUGGUAGGGUAAUGGCCUACCAAGGCGACGAUGGUUAGCUGGUCUGAGAGGGUGAUCAGCCACACUGGGACUGAGACACGGCCCAGACUCCUACGGGAGGCAGCAGUGGGGAAUUUUGCGCAAUGGGGGAAACCCUGACGCAGCAACGCCGCGUGAGUGAUGAAGGCUUUCGGGUCGUAAAGCUCUGUCUAGAGGGAAGAAGUGAUAUUCGGUUAAUACCCGGGUUUCUUGACGGUACCUCUGAAGGAAGCACCGGCUAACUCCGUGCCAGCAGCCGCGGUAAUA
rnacentral:rRNA from 1 species